rnacentral:rRNA from 1 species
AUUGAACGCUGGCGGCAGGCCUAACACAUGCAAGUCGAGCGGAUGACGGGAGCUUGCUCCUUGAUUCAGCGGCGGACGGGUGAGUAAUGCCUAGGAAUCUGCCUGGUAGUGGGGGACAACGUUUCGAAAGGAACGCUAAUACCGCAUACGUCCUACGGGAGAAAGCAGGGGACCUUCGGGCCUUGCGCUAUCAGAUGAGCCUAGGUCGGAUUAGCUAGUAGGUGAGGUAAUGGCUCACCUAGGCGACGAUCCGUAACUGGUCUGAGAGGAUGAUCAGUAAAACUGGAACUGAGACACGGUCCAGACUCCUACGGGAGGCAGCAGUGGGGAAUAUUGGACAAUGGGCGAAAGCCUGAUCCAGCCAUGCCGCGUGUGUGAAGAAGGUCUUCGGAUUGUAAAGCACUUUAAGUUGGGAGGAAGGGCAGUAAGUUAAUACCUUGCUGUUUUGACGUUACCGACAGAAUAAGCACCGGCUAACUCUGUGCCAGCCGCCGCCGUAACAC